rnacentral:tRNA from 1 species
GCCGAGAUGGCGGAAUUGGUAGACGCUGCGGACUUAAAAUCCGCUGGGUGGAGACACCCGUGUCGGUUCGAGUCCGACUCUCGGCACCA